rnacentral:lncRNA from 13 species
UAUUCAUAUACACUGCAACAUGUGUAUGCAUGUAAUUUUAUAUGUUACCUAUUCACACACAGUGCAACAUGUGUCCACAUGUAAUUUUAUAUAUGUUACCUAUUCACAUACAGUUCAACAUGUGUGCACAUGUAAUUUUAUAUGUUACCUAUUCACACACAGUGCAACAUGUGUGCAUGUAAUUUUAUAUAUAUUACCUAUCACAUACAGUGCAACAUGUGUGUGCAUGUAAUUUUAUAUGUUACCUAUUCACACACAGUGCAACAUGUGUGUGCAUGUUAUUUUAUAUAUGUUACCUAUUCACAUACAGUGCAACAUGUGUGUGCAUGUAAUUUUAUAUAUGUUACCUAUUCACACACAGUGCAACAUGUGUGCAUGUAAUUUUAUAUAUAUUACCUAUCACAUACAGUGCAACAUGUGUGCGCAUGUAAUUUUAUAUAUGUUACCUAUCACAUACAGUGCAACAUGUGUGCGCAUGUAAUUUUAUAUAUGUUACCUAUUCACAUACAGUGCAACAUGUGUGUGCAUGUAAUUUUAUAUGUUACCUAUUCACAUACAGUGCAACGUGUGUGUGCAUGUACUUUUAUAUAUAUUAUGUAUAUAUUAUCUUAUGUUCUAUUCCUCUAAAAUAGGAGAAAGAUAUAAAAACAAAGACAUUAAAGGACAAUUAACCAAGGACUCACAAAUGACAGUUCCCGAGGGGUUCGGACAUGGAGAUAAGGAAGAGAAGGCACAUGUGACGUGGCAGAAGGGAUUACGAAUGACAGUUCCCGAGGGGUUCGGACAUGGAGAUAAGGAAGAGAAGGCACAUGUGACGUGGCAGAAGGGAUUACGAAUGGGAGACAACGUGAGGGAAAGUCAAGAGGGAGCCGUAUUUACUACCGUGAAUUAGAAAAGAAUGCAAACUCUCAAAAUAUCCGCAGAGGAGAAGCUAUUCCCAUGGCAGAGUGUGGCUUUCCACGCAGGACAGUGAUGCUCUGUGCCUUUUACUCCUCUCGUUCCCUACCUGGUGGGCUCUUGAAGACUUUCAUUCCCACUUCCCCAUUCCACUUCCCUGAAGAGAUCCCGGGGAUGAAGGGAAGGCUAGACCUGCACCCCGUGCAUUACAAGCACCCGCCUCUCUCUCUCCUCUCUGUCUCCCUCCUCUCUCUCCCCAUUUUCAGCACAUGGUUUGUUCAGACUGCUGACCAGCCACCACCAAUGACAGGCACAGCCUCAUAGAGUAAUCAGAUUCAUACACACUAAACCCUGCAUCGUGCUCUGUGUGACAAUAAAUAUAAUAAUGUGCUUCUACUCA